UACACUCCUGCGGGAGGCAGCAGUGGGGAAUUUUGGACAAUGGGCGAAAGCCUGAUCCAGCCAUGCCGCGUGCAGGAUGAAGGCCUUCGGGUUGUAAACUGCUUUUGUACGGAACGAAACGGCCUUUUCUAAUAAAGAGGGCUAAUGACGGUACCGUAAGAAUAAGCACCGGCUAACUACGUGCCAGCAGCCGCGGUAAUACGUAGGGUGCAAGCGUUAAUCGGAAUUACUGGGCGUAAAGCGUGCGCAGGCGGUUAUGUAAGACAGUUGUGAAAUCCCCGGGCUCAACCUGGGAACUGCAUCUGUGACUGCAUAGCUAGAGUACGGUAGAGGGGGAUGGAAUUCCGCGUGUAGCAGUGAAAUGCGUAGAUAUGCGGAGGAACACCGAUGGCGAAGGCAAUCCCCUGGACCUGUACUGACGCUCAUGCACGAAAGCGUGGGGAGCAAACAGGAUUAGAUACCCUUGUAGUCCCA
rnacentral:rRNA from 1 species